GCAAGAUAGCGCCAUCUUGCCCGCUCGGGUAGCCAAUCACAGUGCAGGAUUUGGUUCAUCUUGCCCGCUCACGGAGGUAGACAUACAAUAAAACCAUUUAAUUACAAUCUGCCGUAAAAGCUUACUUUACUUACUGCAACUGUAAAUUUCGCACACGCUCUUUGACUGUUUAUCAUUAUUAAAAGGCUGCAAACUUUUUACAUCUUCCUGCGACAAAUUGCAUCUACAGACGCAUAGAAAGCAAACGUCGGUUUGUUAAUUUGACAUAACUAGGGAAUGAAAAUGUUGUUAGUUCAUAAAAUGUGGUUUAAGGCGCUGGAUUUGAAAUCUGGAGGUCCCUGGUUCAAAUCCUCCACCCUACAGCUAUCUGGAUUUGUACUAGGUAGUCCUGAGUUCAACUCGUCGACCGCGAUGUGUAAAUAGCCAACUUGUCAGCCUCCCAUAUUUUGGAUACUUAAUAGUUUAUGUUCUAUUUUAAAUAUUUGUUUAUUUAUUUACAGUGUCUUCAAUUAGCAUAGCAGUGCUAAACACAUUUGACUCUUAAAAGAGUUGAUCAUUUUUUUUUUUUGUUUUUUAGAUGAUUUAUGAACUCGGCGGCAUUUCCAGAAACAUCGGCGGGAAGGCCAGAAUACCAAGUCUGAGGUCAAAAUGGCCGAUAAGGAUCUCUCCAGGACUCCCGACGGUGGAUGGAGUGCCACGUGCGAUUAGAAGUGGAUUGGCUUCAUGAUAUACAGAGGUCACUACCGGCCGAGGUGGUAGCAACGAAAACCUUGUGUUCAAUAAGAUGGAUCACGAAAUAUCAGGCCAAGAUCUGAUUCUUCAAAGAAGUUCUUCUCUGAUGGAAGAUUCGUUUUCACUUUAUAGCACAUUCACUCUUCAAGACCGUGUAGUGGCGAUUGAACAAUCCGGCGAAGAAUUUUACGAAAAGGUCAGGCAAGAAAUGAGAGAAAAAGGAAUAGGAAGAAGCAAAGCGAUGGAUUCAGUUCGUCUCCAGAGAUUGAUUGAUGUUUGUGACAAUAGAGAAAAUACUGCAAUUUAUCUUCUGGAGGAAUGGAAUUAUGAAC